CCUACGGGGGGCAGCAGUGAGGAAUAUUGGUCAAUGGGCGCGAGCCUGAACCAGCCAAGUAGCGUGAAGGAUGACUGUCCUACGGGUUGUAAACUUCUUUUAUCAAGGAAUAAAGUGAGGCACGUGUGCCUUUUUGUAUGUACCUUAUGAAUAAGGAUCGGCUAACUCCGUGCCAGCAGCCGCGGUAAUACGGAGGAUCCGAGCGUUAUCCGGAUUUAUUGGGUUUAAAGGGAGCGUCGAUGGGUUGUUAAGUCAGUUGUGAAAGUUUGCGGCUCAACCGUAAAAUUGCAAUUGAUACUGGCAGCCUCGAGUACGGUAGAGGUAGGCGGAAUUCGUGGUGUAGCGGUGAAAUGCUUAGAUAUCGCGAAGAACUCCGAUUGCGAAGGCAGCUUACUAACCUGACACUGACAUUGAUGCUCGAAAGUGUGGGUAUCAAACAGGAUUAGAUACCCGGGUAGUC
rnacentral:rRNA from 1 species